rnacentral:lncRNA from 1 species
AUGGUCAACCCCACAGUGUUCUUCGACAUCGCUGUUGAUGGUGAGCCCUUGGGCUGCGUCUCUUUCAAGCUGUUUGCAAAGUUCCAAAGACAGCAGAAGACUUCCAUGCUCUGAGCACUGGGAAGAAAGGAUUUGGUUAUAAAGGUUUCUGCUUUCACAGAAUAAUUCCGGGAUUUAUGUGCCAGGGUGGUGACUCCGCAUGCCAUAAUGGUACUGGUGGCAAGCCCAUCUAUGGCGAGAAAUUUGAUGAUGAGAAUUUCAUUCUGAAGCAUACAGGUCCUGGCAUCUUGUCCACGGCAAAUGCUGGCCCCAACACAAACGGUUCCCAGUUUUUCAUCUGCACUGCCAAGACUGAGUGGUUGGAUGGCAAGCAUGUGGUCUUGGGCAAGAUGAAAGAGGGCAUGGAUAUUAUGGAAACCAUGGAGCGCUUUGGGUCCAGGAAUGGCAAGACCAGCAGGAAAAUCACCAUUACUGACUGUGGACAAAUCUAA